ACCCAAUAAUAUUCUCUGUGUCUCAUAUGGGUACAUACCACGCUUCACACAUCCUUCCCUGUCCCUGUGUUGGCCUCCAAGAUACCCCAACCAUGGCUUUUCUUUACCUGUGUGCCCCCACAGGGCAUCACAGUGAGAUUAUGUUGUUAUCUGACGAAUAUGUUGUUAUUCCUGCAGGUGACCUCUGCAAGCUGAUUGAGGGUUCAUCUGUCCAGAUUGAGAUUUGUGGUACCAUGGCAUUUCUGUGCUGGCAGGAGCUGAGAGCACAUCACAGUGCAGAGCAGUGGUGUGAUGUGUUUUCAGCACUUGCAUUACCACGCAGCAUCUUCUUGCCUGAGGAGGACAGACGGAAUAGCCCUUGGAGCACAUGGCACAUACCCACCUCCCUCAGACCUCUUUGUGCUUAUCAGGAACUCUCCUUCCCCUUGAGAUCCCCACACAGCUGUUACGCUGCUGUCUUCUGGUGUGAAAAGAGAAAUCCUCCAGGAGGAGAAGCAAAUCACCUGCUCACUUGCUGCUUUUCUGUAUCAUCUCCUGGAGGCUGAAGGCAUGGCAGGGAGGAGGGCAACCAGCUCUUCAGGCUGCUUACGAGUGCUGCCUGUUCUUGUGGCACGAGGCCAGCUGGGCUGCCCUUUGGUGGUGUGGGACUGCAAAAUGGAUCGGAUGGCGUGUGGUCUCCAUGCUCGAGUGCUCAGGGUGCUGGCUCAGAGGAGUAAUGGAGCCCUCUCUGAGACACGCGCUCUCCUCCCAUUGAUUCAGCAGUCUGUUCUCUUCUGUCUGCCUGAGCUUGCGGGCUUUUCGAGGCCAAGGCAGGAUGAAUGAACCUCUGGUAAUUACUACAACAUGAAUUCAGGAGGAUCCUAUUGGUAGGGUUCAUCAGCAACUCAUUAAUUAAACUGUUGCCAUGGUGCCGGUUGCCCUGGUAGCAUGAAAUCCUUUCUCCUCCCUUUCCCCUCCUCCUCUGCAGUUCACGGGCUUCUCAUUCAUAUUCUUGUGCUUAACAUGAAUGAAGCCAGAGAGCACGGGGCUAGGGGAAGAGCUACUAGAGGAGAGAAGAUGCCUUUUCCCCCACUGUGACUACCCCCUCGUGGGCCUGAAUAAGCACUCAGCUCUUCCUCUGUGUUUUUCUUUCUUUGGAAACACGAAUUCUGCCUCAUACACGUCCUGUCUUUUUUUUUUUUUCUCUCCUACUGGUUGCUUACAGCACAAAUCCCAAUUACCCUGAGCACCUGUGUUAUUCUGGGUUCUUGGAAUGAGUUCCUGUGAUUGACAGUGGUGCAAGUAAAGGGCUGGGCACUUUAUCUGCAGCCUAAUUGCAGAGGCUUGGCAGUUUUCUAGAGGUAAGCCUUUGCCUGUGUAGGUUUUCUCUGCCUGAUUAAAUCACAAUAUUUCCUCUGUCUCCGAAGCCAGAAAGGACCAUUAACUCUUCCAGGCUGUCCACCUUUGUAGGACACAGCAGUGACUCCCCCCAUGUCUUCUGCUUUGUGAAUGCAAGCUUCUGGCUGAGCUGUGAUUUCCUUGCCAGAAGAUUCCUCAUCUUUGUAUAAAUGUUGAUAACGAUGGAGAACACUGCACCCUGUGGCAACCUGUCCAUCUAGGUGUCUAACCACUCCUUGUUGCCAAGAAUCACGCCCCCCCUCCCCCAACAUGCACGGUAGGUCUUGUAUGACAUUACUUUUCUUUUUUUUUUUCUUUUUUUUUUUUUUUUUUUUUCCUGCAGGGUGUUUUCUCACAGAAUCUAGCAGCUCCCUUCUUCAGAGAUGAAAUCCGAUCUCACCCCUGUGGAUGUAGAUGGAUGGUUGAUGAUUUGCCCUGAGCCCACCAUUCUGGCCAUGUCUGGCUGUAAAUAUUUGCAGAGUAAAUGCGUCCGUAGGAAGAAUUGGUUGUAUUCAUUUUGUAAGGGUGUUUUUCUGGUUCCAAGUGUUUGAAGUAAUAAUGAUAGGGCUGUGUUUCAGCAUCUAAGAACAAUGUUUUCAUAGCACAAACCUGAGAGGGUAUGGUACGUACGAGUGUGAGGAAGUACGGCCAGCUGGGAUGGUGUCAGAGGAAAACACAUGGUUAAAGAGUCAAACCUGACCUUGUCCUUACAGCUGCUGGGAGUGAUCACUGGUGUGUGCUGUCCUUUGAGCUCUGUUCUGGGGAAAGGCACAGUUGUUAUGGGCCACAAUCACACCUGUUGUGCAAGAACAAGUAGGUAUUUUGGACAGCUAGGGCUCUGAGGUCCAUCUUUCUCCCUGGCUCUGUUUUAUUUAACAGUCUAGACGUUGCAUUAGAAGUAGGGAUGGAAUUUAUCCCGUGGGCUAGAUUAUUCCCUGUCUGCCUGCUACGAGGUGUCACCCAGCUUCAUCCAAAGUCUCUGGCAAUGGCAAUGCUUCGAGAGGGCAGUGGAGCAGGUGGAGCUAGGGACUGAGGAAAAAUGAAAAUUCAAAGGUCCCUGAUUUGGCCCUACCUAGAAAUGUGAAAAAGUGUUAAGUCUGUAAUAUCAGCUCUGCUUUCUCCAGGCAUUAUAUGUUCUGCUUCACUCCCUGCCCAUUCAGAUGAAUGUAAAACCCUUGUGAAAGUGCCAUGAAAGCCAAAACCCCUGGCAGAGGACAGCACCUUCUUCCCUGGUAGCUCAGAGCCAGCACGUGUGACUGCACUGGUGUUACUGUGGAGCUUCUUGAGCACAAAUACACCGCCAAAUAGAGACAGACCAACUGCCCCUUGCAGUCUGUUGCCAAAAUAGUUCCAGCCCAUCUGAGGAUAAAGCAAGAAGGAUCCCACUUGUCUCAUUGCCUCUAAAUUACUAUGUGAGUAAGAAAUGCUUGUAUCUGUGGGGAAGAGCUGCCUGUCCUAGAGAUGAGAAGCCUGGUACAUCCUGGCCUACCUCUUUGUGGGCUGUUACUUGGUUUCUCACUGUGGUUUUCCUUCCCCUCGAGUUUUCUGCACUAAUUUUGUAAUAACAGUUAGUGCUGGCUUUCAUAAACAGACAUGCAACAUGCAAUUAGAGUUUGCUUUGUGUGAAAUAAAGUAGCUGUGAGUCAUAUCCAGACAAGUGAAUUAUCUGUGAUUAUUCAGCCAAGAAGGGAGACAGUGGUGUGCAGAGGAAUGUGCUAUGUAUCCUUAUUAACAUUUUGCUACGCACCAUGGCAGGGCUGGCUCCUUGGGAUGCCUGCACUACAAACACCAACACGACUGACUCCUCACAGGCCAUGUUCCUCUGCUACUAAGACUUGUGCAUAAUGGCAUUAACACUGCUUGGUCUUUCUCUGUUCCUAAAAAGAAUAAAAGGGGAGUUACCUGGUAGACACAAGCAGUCUUUAGGAGUCUGAAGCUAAAUGAAGCAAAUCGUGUAUGUGGCGAGGAGCAUGUAUGAAAGAAGUCCCUUGAGGGAAGAUAGCACAAAAUAGGUUUUCAGCAGUGCCCUCGGUUGAUGUGCCUGAUGAAUCUAUUCCUUUUUGUCCUCUGGGAAUGAAAAUAUGUCCCAGGAAGGGGCCUCAGGGUGCAGAAGGAACUGGGAAGCCUUUUGGGCUGAGAAGUUGCAAGCUCAGUGAACCAAGCUGUUUUCUGCAGGGGCAUCACAGCACAUCUCUUAUUUAUUGCCAGGUAGGAAACUUACAGGCUGUGACUCUGCAGUGAGGGAAGCACAGGCACACGAGCCGUUUCCAUGAGGAGAGAGAGUGACGGGGUGUGGGCAGUGUGGGCAGGGAGCGUGCAGGCUGCCCGCUUCACACAGUUGCAUACUUGUGACAGGAGGGGUGAUUUUGAAACCAAAAUGUGCUUCUUCAAGGCCAGGGUCACUUACAGGGAGGGGGGAGAUAGGAGUUGCUAAACAGCAUCUUCCCAGUCCCCAGCUGCGUAGCUUCAGCUGCCCAAGGAAGCUUCUUUGCCAUCCAUUUCAGGAAUCUGUUGACCCUUCCUCAUCCAGUUGCAAACGCCUUCAUCCAUACAAUGACAAGGAGAAAUGCUUAAUCCUCCACGAUGAAUCUAACAGCUGCUUCUCCCAGGAAAUGAACUAAAGGUUGCAGCUUUGCUUGAGUGAUUGUGAGUCAGGUAUGAGUCAUUCCUCCCUUGAAGGGCAUAUGGAUGUGCUUUGCUGAUAAACACACAAAGAGCACAGAGCCUGGGGUGAAAGGUUAUCACAGGAAGAAGGAACUAAAAACAAAAAAGAAACACAAACAAAUAAAUAAAAAAACAAAACAAAACAACACAAAAACUCCUCUCUGAGAUCGUAUCAGUAUACUCCAAACUGUCUGUUGACAGCACAGUGCAUUAGCUGGGGGUUUUAAAGACAUUGCCUCUUCCCUUCCACUGCGCAGUGACUUAUAAACAGUGGACAGGAACUUUAAACUUAUAAAAAGUGGACAGGAACUUUCUGUUUGAAUGGUAUUUGGAUAUUUCUACCUUACGGAUAGUUUAUGUUGAAUCUGAUCACCACAAGAUGCCUUGAGCCCAGGGAACAGGCAGUUGUGGAUAAAGGACAUCUGCAGCUGUUUUUGCACGCUAGAGCCAGGUGGCCUGAGUAUAGAUUAACAAACCACUGAAUGUGACAGCACAGAGUACUUGAAACCCCGGAAAUUAAUCUGUGUGUAAAAAAAAAAAAAAAAAGUCAUUUUCAGGGGAUAACUUUGUAUUGGAUAGCUUUCCAAUUAGCAGUGAGCAUAAAUGAAUGAAAUCAGUACAGAAAUUGUUGGCCAAAAUUACCUAGCUUUAUGCUAUGCCAAUAAGAAGAAGGGUUUGCAAUAGUUGUGUUGGGUGUAAAACUGGUUCCUGGAGCAGACUGCAACUGUUUUCAGAUGAUCCCGUUAGCUCAGUGAUAAUCCCUGAUCCCACAGGACAUCAGAGGCUGGAAAGCUGGCUGCAGCAGCAAGAAAUUAGCAUUAAUUGUGCUUCAUCUGAUGGAGCAAAUCCUACCCGAGUGCAUCCAGACACCAAUUUUCAUAUGCAGCCAUUCUGACCAUUUUACUGUCAAGCUGUUUCUUAAUGAUGUACAUUUAUUUAUGGCAAAGUGCCUACGAAAAGCAGUCUAGCAUGCUACCUUAGUGCAUGCCAGUGGAGUGUGAUCUGUAAGAACAGCUCAAAUCUUUUACUAGGCUGACUGCAAGGAGAGGACAGAUGUGCUUGUAAGCACACAAGUCCGUUCCCAGGUUACGAAUGGAAGCUGCUGCUUCCAGAUAGAAGCAGCUCAGGACCAAUUCCUCUGGGUUCAACUUAAUUAUGCUAAUUAUGCAAGCAAU
rnacentral:lncRNA from 1 species